rnacentral:rRNA from 1 species
ACGAACGCUGGCGGCGUGCCUAAUACAUGCAAGUCGAGCGGAAUGAUGAAGAAGCUUGCUUCUUCUGAUUUUAGCGGCGGACGGGUGAGUAACACGUGGGCAACCUACCUUGUAGAUUGGGAUAACUCCGGGAAACCGGGGCUAAUACCGAAUAAUCCAUUUUGCUUCAUGGCGAGAUGUUGAAAGACGGUUUCGGCUGUCACUAUAAGAUGGGCCCGCGGCGCAUUAGCUAGUUGGUAGGGUAAUGGCCUACCAAGGCGACGAUGCGUAGCCGACCUGAGAGGGUGAUCGGCCACACUGGGACUGAGACACGGCCCAGACUCCUACGGGAGGCAGCAGUAGGGAAUCUUCCACAAUGGACGAAAGUCUGAUGGAGCAACGCCGCGUGAGUGAAGAAGGUUUUCGGAUCAUAAAACUCUGUUGUAAGGGAAGAACACGUACGAGAGUAACUGCUCGUACCUUGACGGUACCUUAUUAGAAAGCCACGGCUAACUACGUG